AGCCCGGAGGUGAAGACACGCCAAAAUGCAAGUUUGGAGACGCACCCUAUAGGUGCCGGGGCUU
rnacentral:tRNA from 1 species